rnacentral:rRNA from 1 species
GACGGGGGAUGCAAGUGUUAUCCGGAAUCACUGGGCGUAAAGCGUCUGCAGGUGGUUUCCUAAGUCCACUGUUAAACCUUGAGGCUCAACCUCAAAUCUGCAUUGGAAACUAGGAGACUUGAGUAUAGUAGGGGUAGAGGGGAAUUUCCAGUGGAGCGGUGAAAUGCGUAGAUAUUGGAAAGAACACCGAUGGCGAAGGCACUCUACUGGGCUAUUACUGACACUCAGAGACGAAAGCUAGGGGAGCAAAUGGG